rnacentral:rRNA from 1 species
CCUCGGGAGGCAGCAGUGGGGAAUUUUCCGCAAUGGGCGAAAGCCUGACGGAGCAACGCCGCGUGAGGGAUGAAGGCCUCUGGGCUGUAAACCUCUUUUAUCAAGGAAGAAGAUCUGACGGUACUUGAUGAAUAAGCCACGGCUAAUUCCGUGCCAGCAGCCGCGGUAAUACGGGAGUGGCAAGCGUUAUUCGGAAUUAUUGGGCGUAAAGCGUCCGCAGGCGGCCCUUCAAGUCUGCUGUUAAAAAGUGGAGCUUAACUCCAUCAUGGCAGUGGAAACUGUUGGGCUUGAGUGUGGUAGGGGCAGAGGGAAUUCCCGGUGUAGCGGUGAAAUGCGUAGAUAUCGGGAAGAACACCAGUGGCGAAGGCGCUCUGCUGGGCCAUCACUGACGCUCAUGGACGAAAGCCAGGGGAGCGAAAGGGAUUAGAUACCCCUGUAGUCCUGGCCGUAAACGAUGAACACUAGGUGUCGGGGGAAUCGACCCCCUCGGUGUCGUAGCCAACGCGUUAAGUGUUCCGCCUGGGGAGUACGCACGCAAGUGUGAAACUCAAAGGAAUUGACGG